rnacentral:rRNA from 1 species
CGCCUCCUAAAGAGUAACGGAGGCGCUCAAAGGUUCCCUCAGAAUGGUUGGAAAUCAUUCAUAGAGUGUAAAGGCAUAAGGGAGCUUGACUGCGAGACCUACAAGUCGAGCAGGGUCGAAAGACGGACUUAGUGAUCCGGUGGUUCCGCAUGGAAGGGCCAUCGCUCAACGGAUAAAAGCUACCCCGGGGAUAACAGGCUUAUCUCCCCCAAGAGUUCACAUCGACGGGGAGGUUUGGCACCUCGAUGUCGGCUCAUCGCAUCCUGGGGCUGUAGUCGGUCCCAAGGGUUGGGCUGUUCGCCCAUUAAAGCGGUACGCGAGCUGGGUUCAGAACGUCGUGAGACAGUUCGGUCCCUAUCCGUCGUGGGCGUAGGAAAUUUGAGAGGAGCUGUCCUUAGUACGAGAGGACCGGGAUGGACAUACCUCUGGUGUACCAGUUGUCGUGCCAACGGCAUAGCUGGGUAGCUAUGUAUGGACGGGAUAAGUGCUGAAAGCAUCUAAGCAUGAAGCCCCCCUCGAGAUGAGAUUUCCCAACUUC